UCAGGAUGAACGCUGGCGGCGUGCCUAAUACAUGCAAGUCGAACGAACUUCCGUUAAUUGAUUAUGACGUGCUUGCACUGAAUGAGAUUUUAACACGAAGUGAGUGGCGGACGGGUGAGUAACACGUGGGUAACCUGCCCAGAAGUAGGGGAUAACACCUGGAAACAGAUGCUAAUACCGUAUAACAGAGAAAACCGCCUGGUUUUCUUUUAAAAGAUGGCUCUGCUAUCACUUCUGGAUGGACCCGCGGCGCAUUAGCUAGUUGGUGAGGUAACGGCUCACCAAGGCGAUGAUGCGUAGCCGACCUGAGAGGGUAAUCGGCCACAUUGGGACUGAGACACGGCCCAGACUCCUACGGGAGGCAGCAGUAGGGAAUCUUCCACAAUGGACGCAAGUCUGAUGGAGCAACGCCGCGUGAGUGAAGAAGGGUUUCGGCUCGUAAAGCUCUGUUGUUAAAGAAGAACGUGGGUGAGAGUAACUGUUCACCCAGUGACGGUAUUUAACCAGAAAGCCACGGCUAACUACGUGCCAGCAGCCGCGGUAAUACGUAGGUGGCAAGCGUUAUCCGGAUUUAUUGGGCGUAAAGCGAGCGCAGGCGGUCUUUUAAGUCUAAUGUGAAAGCCUUCGGCUCAACCGAAGAAGUGCAUUGGAAACUGGGAGACUUGAGUGCAGAAGAGGACAGUGGAACUCCAUGUGUAGCGGUGAAAUGCGUAGAUAUAUGGAAGAACACCAGUGGCGAAGGCGGCUGUCUGGUCUGUAACUGACGCUGAGGCUCGAAAGCAUGGGUAGCGAACAGGAUUAGAUACCCUGGUAGUCCAUGCCGUAAACGAUGAUUACUAAGUGUUGGAGGGUUUCCGCCCUUCAGUGCUGCAGCUAACGCAUUAAGUAAUCCGCCUGGGGAGUACGACCGCAAGGUUGAAACUCAAAAGAAUUGACGGGGGCCCGCACAAGCGGUGGAGCAUGUGGUUUAAUUCGAAGCUACGCGAAGAACCUUACCAGGUCUUGACAUCUUCUGCCAACCUAAGAGAUUAGGCGUUCCCUUCGGGGACAGAAUGACAGGUGGUGCAUGGUUGUCGUCAGCUCGUGUCGUGAAAUGUUGGGUUAAGUCCCGCAACGAGCGCAACCCUUAUUACUAGUUGCCAGCAUUCAGUUGGGCACUCUAGUGAGACUGCCGGUGACAAACCGGAGGAAGGUGGGGACGAC
rnacentral:rRNA from 1 species